AGUGAACGCUGGCGGUAGGCCUAACACAUGCAAGUCGAACGGCAGCACAGUAAGAGCUUGCUCUUACGGGUGGCGAGUGGCGGACGGGUGAGGAAUACAUCGGAAUCUACUUUUUCGUGGGGGAUAACGUAGGGAAACUUACGCUAAUACCGCAUACGACCUACGGGUGAAAGCAGGGGAUCUUCGGACCUUGCGCGAUUGAAUGAGCCGAUGUCGGAUUAGCUAGUUGGCGGGGUAAAGGCCCACCAAGGUGACGAUCCGUAGCUGGUCUGAGAGGAUGAUCAGCCACACUGGAACUGAGACACGGUCCAGACUCCUACGGGAGGCAGCAGCGGGGAAUAUUGGACAAUGGGCGCAAGCCUGAUCCAGCCAUACCGCGUGGGUGAAGAAGGCCUUCGGGUUGUAAAGCCCUUUUGUUGGGAAAGAAAAGCAGCAGGUUAAUACCCCGCUGUUCUGACGGUACCCAAAGAAUAAGCACCGGCUAACUUCGUG
rnacentral:rRNA from 1 species